AGACAUCUUGAGUGUGGUUGCCUGGGGAGAGGAAACCGGCGGAGCUGCGGGGAGCCGGGGGGGUUGGCACGCUGCAAUCCGGCGGCGCUGUGCAGGUUAGGCAGCGGGGAGGAGUCCCCUGCGGGAGCCGGGGGGUUAGCGAUGAUGCAAGAUUCAAAUCAGUGGAGAACCUGGCCUCUGGAGUAGGAGAAUUCCUUUUUUAGGCUAGAAAGAAGCUAACAAUUAGUAUUGGGAGUUUCAGAGAGAGAAAGGAUGAUCCAGUGGUUAAGGAUGUUCCAGGGACUCAGAAGACCCAGGUUCAAUUCCUUGGUCUUCCACAGACUUCCUGUAUGAUCUCAAGUAAGGCCUUGUCUACACUAACGAGGUAAGUCAAUCUAAGUUAGAAUACGUAAGUUACUUAACUGAAGUAGACGUAGCUUAGAUCAACUUACAGCGGGGUCUAUACUGCGCUAUGUCGGUGGGAGACACUCUCCCAUCGACUUAUCACGUCUGCACCAGACCCGCUAAAUUGACACUGCUGCAUCGAUCUCAGCAGCGCCAAUUUAGCCCGUAGUAAAGAAAAAUCCCGAAGUCACUGUGACGUUCCCCUGGCGUUAUCUGGACCGGUGAUCUGCUAGGGCACUCCAAUCCUUGACGCUGGGAGCCAGCUUUAGCCUGCUCUCUGUGAGAACCCCCACUCCUGGGCUGUUCACGCACAGACCCUGGCAUGUAAGCUGCUUGGAUUGUGCAACCGAAUGACACUAGCCAAUAUCUCCGGUCCCAGACACAACCUCCGUAUUACAGUGUCCAGUUAUGCAUGCUGGAUGCUGCAAGCUUAUAUGAGUUCAUCAAUUUAACAAAGAAAUUGAUAUGCACCAGGCUUGUUAUCCCAAGGGGAGUCUCUGACAUGCUUCAAACCAAAUGCACUACUUCAGGUAGAACAAACAAAUAUAUUAACUACAAAGGUAGAUAUUAAGUGCUUAUAAGUCAAAGCCUAACAAGUCAAAUUCGGUCAAUGAAAUAAAAGCAAAACGCAUUC